rnacentral:rRNA from 1 species
UACAGAGGGUGCAAGCGUUGUUCGGAAUUAUUGGGCGUAAAGCGCGUGUAGGCGGCUUUGCAAGUCGGGUGUGAAAGCCCUCAGCUCAACUGAGGAAGUGCGCCCGAAACUGCAGAGCUUGAGUACCGGAGAGGAUGGCGGAAUUCCCGAAGUAGAGGUGAAAUUCGUAGAUAUCGGGAGGAACACCGGUGGCGAAGGCGGCCAUCUGGACGGAUACUGACGCUGAGACGCGAAAGCGUGGGUAGCAAACAG